GACGAACGCUGGCGGCGUGCUUAACACAUGCAAGUCGAACGAAGUGGCGAACGGGUGAGUAACGCGUAAUCAACCUGCCCUUCAGAGGGGGACAACAGUUGGAAACGACUGCUAAUACCGCAUACUGAAGGAGGGGAUGGCGUCUGAUUAGCUAGUUGGAGGGGUAACGGCCCACCAAGGCGAUGAUCAGUAGCCGGUCUGGGAGGAAGAACUGCCACAUUUGGGAGUGGAAACGGCCCAGACUCCUACGGGGAGCAGCCGGGGGGAAACUUCCGCAAUGGACGAAAGGCUGACGGAGCAACGCCGCGGGAGGGAUGACGGCCUUCGGGUUGUAAAGCUCUUUUAAUCGGGACGCGGUACCGGAAUAGAAAGCCACGGCUAACUACGUGCCAGCCGCCGCGGUAAUUC
rnacentral:rRNA from 1 species